CAGUUAAUAAUUUAUCUAACUCAUAUAAUCUGAAGGAUACGGCUUUAGAAGUUUCUACCAUGUUGCCAUUAACAACAUGACUAUGAGUAACCAAUACAAUACA
rnacentral:ncRNA from 23 species